AUGCCUCAUUUUUUGGCAAUAUAUGAAGCUGUCAAAAUAAUGGGUAUUUUAUUUUUUUCAAUAAUGCGUACUUUGUAUCCUUUUUAUCGAAUUAUAUAUUUACUCAUUAAAGGGUGAAAAACUUCUUGUGUGGAUGGAAUUGUUUUGCAAAUUGAAAAUGCAGUCCGAUAUUUUAAUAAUUAAUGGUGAAGAAAAAACCUCAGGAUAAAACCCCAAGAUCACAGUCACACAAUGAGAGGAACUCGUAGAAAAAAGUAUAAAUUGCAGUGUGGAUAUCGAAAACUGAUCCGAAGGCGAAUCCUAUAAAUAGUUCACCAGCUGUUUCCGCUGCCGCUAAGAAACCGGAGCUCAACCUAGCUCAUCUUGGACGUGAAAAAGAAUCUGCUUAUUGAAUAAGCGGUCUUCCACGACAAAACGUACAAAUCUUUUCGUCACUAAUCCCAAAGAUCGGGAUCCGGGAUGCGCUAGCUCCAAAUCCAACCUUUAUCCUGUAAUAGUUUCGCCACGACCACGAAAAGCCGUAGGCUGUGAUUCCUGAUAAUGAUUCCUUUUUGAUUCCGGCAAUGAUUUCUGACCUGAUGCAGCUGUUGGCGCUAUAGACUAACCCGAAACGGAUGGCCACAAGAAGCCGUAGACAGUUGCUGACAAUCAGGAAAGGUUUUGGUUCCGUAAUUGAUUCCUGAUGCAGGCGCUCCGGAGAUCGAGAUGACGGUGGUCGGCAAAAAAGGAAAUUCUUUGUUUGCGGUACUGGUUUUUACGGCAGCUGCUGGAGGUGCUCCGGAAAUCAAAGAAACCGGAAGGCGAUUGUCAGCAAUAAGAAAUGCUUUCGAUUCUGGGUCUGGCAUUGGUUCCCGAGGCAGCUGCUGAUGGUGAUCCGACUGUUUAAAAUGCAUAAAUACCACGCUUCUACGAAACUUUAAUACUAGUCAAGUAUUAAAUAAUAUUGUCAAUAAUAUGUUUAUCAUGAGGAAUAAUAAAGAUGUUUUUAUUAUAAUUGGAAAA